rnacentral:rRNA from 1 species
UACAUGGGGUGCAAACGUUGCUCGGAAUUAUUGGGCGUAAAGCGCACGUAGGCGGUUCGUUAAGUCGGAUGUGAAAGCCCUCGGCUCAACUGAGGAAGUGCACCCGAAACUGGCGAGCUUGAGUACGAAAGAGGAUCGCGGAAUUCCCGGUGUAGAGGUGAAAUUCGUAGAUAUCGGGAGGAACACCGGUGGCGAAGGCGGCUCACUGGCCCGGUACUGACGCUGAGGUGCGAAAGCGUGGGGAGCAAACAGG